rnacentral:rRNA from 1 species
UACGUAGUGUGCGAGCGUUAAUCGGAAUUACUGGGCCUAAAGCGUGCGAAGGCGGCUUUGCAAGACAGAUGUGAAAUCCCCGGGCUCAACCUGGGAACUGCAUUUGUGACUGCAAGGCUAGAGUACGGCAGAGGGGGAUGGAAUUCCGCGUGUAGCAGUGAAAUGCGUAGAUAUGCGGAGGAACACCAAUGGCGAAGGCAAUCCCCUGGGCCUGUACUGACGCUCAUGCACGAAAGCGUGGGGAGCAAACAGG